rnacentral:rRNA from 1 species
AACGAACGCUGGCGGCAGGCUUAACACAUGCAAGUCGAACGCCCCGCAAGGGGAGUGGCAGACGGGUGAGUAACGCGUGGGAAUCUACCCAGAUCUACGGAACAACAGUUGGAAACGACUGCUAAUACCGUAUACGCCCUACGGGGGAAAGAUUUAUCGGAUUUGGAUGAGCCCGCGUUGGAUUAGCUAGUUGGUGGGGUAAUGGCCUACCAAGGCGACGAUCCAUAGCUGGUCUGAGAGGAUGAUCAGCCACACUGGGACUGAGACACGGCCCAGACUCCAACGGGAGGCAGCAGUGGGGAAUAUUGGACAAUGGGCGCAAGCCUGAUCCAGCCAUGCCGCGUGAGUGAUGAAGGCCUUAGGGUUGUAAAGCUCUUUCACCGAUGAAGAUAAUGACGGUAGUCGGAGAAGAAGCCCCGGCUAACUUCGUGCCAGCCGCCGCCGUAACAC